AGGGACUAAGUUUAAUGAGAUUAGCCCUCACUCGCUCCGACUAUUUCCUUCGCUCGGAGUUCUUAGCGAGGACGCCCAAAUACCACUGGAUUGCUAAGCCCGUCGUCGAGAAAGAAUCGUCGUUCGUCCUCGUCUGCUCGCUCAUCUUCCUGCUCUGGCAUCCUCGUACUGCUCGCCCUCAUCUCCUGCUCUGGCAUCCUCGUACUGCUCGCCCUCAUCUCCUGCUCGUCAUCAUCUACUCUUGGUCUGUUCUUGGUUUUCUUGCAUGAUAUUUGUCUGGGAAGAUCAAAGUGUUUGAUCACAGAGGCUAUUCUGCAAAGCUCUGUAUUGUAUUUCUUCCAUCACUAUGUGCUGCUGUCGUGGGAAUCUCUCGUGUGAUGAUUACUGAAUCAUUGGCAGGACGUCUUCGGCGGAGGUCUUAUAGGAAUUGUCACAUCUUCAAUUUGUUACUAGUAGUCCUUACCUCUCCUAAACCAGCUGGAUGGGUGGGCACCUCAAGUGUAUUUCCCCAUGUUGGGUGCAUAGAGGAAUGUUGGCGUGUCCUCAUCUUCGGCCACGAGGUUAAGCUCUCUUUGUAUUUGAUAUGCGAAGAACAGAUAUUGAGAGUCCAGACUCGAGUGCACCAGUCCACUAGUUACUGGAAGAAGGGAGAAGCUCUUGAGUUGAGUUUGUAUGCCGAAUAGAAAUCAUAUAGAAUGUAUAUAUACAUUUUGUAUACACAACGUUGUACUUCAUUCGAUGACUCCAUAUCAUGUGUAGCUCCUAACAUCAUUAUUUAUUAAAUGAAAAUUUUAUAAUUUUAUAUAAUAAAAAAUGUAUGAUUUUUGUUCUCAA